rnacentral:rRNA from 1 species
AGUGAACGCUGGCGGUAGGCCUAACACAUGCAAGUCGAACGGCAGCACAGUAAGAGCUUGCUCUUACGGGUGGCGAGUGGCGGACGGGUGAGGAAUACAUCGGAAUCUACUUUUUCGUGGGGGAUAACGUAGGGAAACUUACGCUAAUACCGCAUACGACCUACGGGUGAAAGCAGGGGAUCUUCGGACCUUGCGCGAUUGAAUGAGCCGAUGUCGGAUUAGCUAGUUGGCGGGGUAAAGGCCCACCAAGGCGACGAUCCGUAGCUGGUCUGAGAGGAUGAUCAGCCACACUGGAACUGAGACACGGUCCAGACUCCUACGGGAGGCAGCAGUGGGGAAUAUUGGACAAUGGGCGCAAGCCUGAUCCAGCCAUACCGCGUGGGUGAAGAAGGCCUUCGGGUUGUAAAGCCCUUUUGUUGGGAAAGAAAAGCAGCAGGUUAAUACCCCGCUGUUCUGACGGUACCCAAAGAAUAAGCACCGGCUAACCUCAUG